rnacentral:lncRNA from 1 species
UUGUCAAAGGAUACCCGCAUAGUCCCUUAUUCCCUUCAUAGGACUCAUUUUCGAAUGUUGAAAAUUGCUUUCCUGCUGGGAUAGGUCCCUCCAGUUGGUUGUGUGAGAGGUUAAGGACUGCGAGGAAAUUAAGGUUUACCAGCUGCGGAGGAAUACUGCCAUUCAGGUUGUUACUUGAGAGGUCCAAGGAUUCCAGCUGUUCCAACUUUCCUAGAGAUGGUGGGAUUGCACCUGUGAGAGCAUUGUGUGACAAGUUGAGAACAUAGAGUGCUUUGAAUUCUCCGAUCACAUCUGGUAUUGGCCCUUCAAAAUUGUUGAAUGAAAGGUCAAUGGAGGUGAAAAGAGUUAGGAUCUUUACCAGCUCCAUCGUUAGACCUUUGUUGGUAACUGUUAUGCCGUCCGCAUAAUACAAUCCACUGAGUUGUAGUAUCUCAAAUUGAAGGUGUUUAACACUUAAUUGGGUUUCAUUGUCAUCAACCUUCAUUGCCUCCCAUGUUGCUAAGCAUUGCUUUGGUAGUCUUCCACUAAAACUAUUGUUAGCAAUGUCAACAAUUUGAAGCUUCGGCCAGGGCGCCUUAUUUGGCAGACAAUCAAUUUUCCCAUGAAAUUCAUUUGACCGCAAAACCAGAACCCGCAAAGUGGAUAUAUUCUUCAAAUGGCAAGGAAAGGAAUCAUUGAUCUGAUUGUUACCAAGGUCUAACACCUCCAGCAUUUUGCACCUAGAAAGGGAUCUUGGAAUCUCCCCUUUAAGCUCAUUGCCAUUGACAUCUAGUGUUUGUAUGGAACAAUGACUUGGAAAUGCAUCAGGAAUAUUGCCAUUGAGACUGUUGCCGCCAAGAUUCAGAACCCCUAGAGAUACAUUCCUUUCAAUUAAACAUUUUGGUAUUCUACCACUCAAAUUGUUGUUGGACAAGUCAAGAACCUGUAGGUAAUCAGCUUUACAUAUUGAAUCAGGAAUGACGCCUGUAAGGCCAUUGCUUGAGAGAGAAAAGAAAAUAGUGUAUGAGAGGUAGUCACUGAUGUUAUGUGGUAAAGAAGAAGCAAAAUGAUUUCUUGAAUAAUCCAGAUAGCUCGCAGAUAGAGGCAGAGUUGGGAUAUUACCACUGAGAUUGUUAGAAUGCAGGUCAAGGACUAAGAGACCACGCAUUUGAUAAGGUGUUUGUAGACUCUCUAGCCGAUUCAAUGAAAGGUUCAGAUGCUGGAGAAUGCCAUUGCCAACAUUCCAAAUCCAAUUGGGUAUUGCAUCUGAAAUUUGGUUGUCUGAAAGAUCCAGAUAUGCUAGUUUUGACUGGUUCCUUAGAUCAGGAAACACUUUCAGUCUGCAAGAUGCCAGUUCUAGUCUGGUAAACUUGGGGAAGGAGGAGAAGGUAGAAAAGUUGCCAGUUGCAUUGACAUACAGCUUGUUAUGUGAAAGGUCAAGACGUGUGAGGUUGGCAAGCUUCUUAACGUCUCCUAGCCAUAUAGUGCCAUUGAACUUGUUGGAAGAAAGCGACAGGAUGUUAAGUCUACCGAGUUCAAAAACAGACAUGGGUAUAAACCCUUGCAGUUGGUUGCUACUGAGAUCAAGAGUAUCCAAUAAAGAUUGCGGCACAUUUGGAAUGUCAUGAACUUUACCGUCAAAUUGAUUGUUGGAAAGCAUAACCUUCUUCAGUAACGGGAGUGCCAAAAGAGAGGAGGGUAUAUCCCCAUGAAGUGCAUUGUGACUUAAAUCAAUAUCAGUAAGGUUUUGAAGGCCUUUCCAGUCAUAUGAUUGGAUCGUACCAGUCAGUUUAUUAUGAGAGAGGUCUAUAUGGGCAAGAUUUCUGGACAUAUCAAAUGGUGGAAUUGGACCUGUGAAGUUAUUGAAUGACAAGUCCAAAUAAACAAGUUGUUGAAGAUUUGGGAUUGGAUUCAGAAUUGCUCCACCGAAAUUGCAAUAGGAAAGGUCUAAUCUUGUCAAGUUCACAAGGUUACCUACGGACUGUGGUAAUGACCCAGAGAACUUUGUUCUGCUAAGCACUAGGAUACGAAGAGAACCAUUAGGAGGGAAUUCUGGCAAGGAACCCUGAAGUUUUUCAUUUGCGGAUAUUUCAAGAGACUGUAGCAUCCUUACCUGGAGUAUUUCUUUCGGAAAUGGUCCAUGCAAGCCACACGAACUGAGCCGCAAGGAAGUCAAAUUCGGAAGUUUAGCAAGGAAUGCUGGAACUGUAGCAGACAAAUUGUUUUUAUCCAAGCGAAUAACUGAGAGAUUCGUCAAGUUUUGAAGGUGAGGUUCAAUUGGUCCAGAAAGAUAACAGUUGGACAUGCUCAACACUUGCAAUUUACUUAACGAAGCAGAUAUGGCCUGGCACCACUCUUUGCCCUGCGCUGAUAUGUUCACGCCAUCAAGAUACAGUUCUUCUAGCAUACUCAGAUUUUGAACAAGCAUUCGUAGAUUUGGGUUUUGAAGCUCCAAUGAAACUUGUCCAGGGAAGUUUAGCGUAGAUAAAUCAAGAGUAACCAACCUUGUCAUUUGUGAAAUCGCCACAGGUAUCUGACCUUUGAAGCCAGCAUUUGACAAAUUGAGGAAACUCAAAUUUGCAAGCACAUCAAGCCUGGAAGGAAUAAUGGAGUUGAAUCUGUUAUACGCCAAAUUUAGACUCUGGAGAUUGUGAAGACUGAAGAGGCUGCUUGAAUUGUCAAUCACACCGGAAAUUGAUUGAUUGCUCAAGUUUAGGGCGAUAACCCGACCACCUGCAUCACAGGUCACACCAUCCCAAAAACAGCAAUCCGUGGUUUGAUUCCACUUCAACAACUUCACAGAUAAAGUAGAAUUGAGGCCAUCUUUCAAUCGGAGCAACAAAUCUCGCUGAUCGCUUUGACAUUGGCCAGAAACCAAAACUACAGCGAUGCUAAAGAAAACUGCUAUGAACGAAUUCAAGAAAAGCCAUGAAAAGAGUGAAAUCCUCAUUACUAACGGUAACCAGAGAUAUCCAUACAAGUAAGAAUUAUGAAGAAGAUAGCAAUGGGAAUUGGCUGAGGAGGGUGCAGGGCCACAAACAUGAGCUUUUGGCGUAUCCUGUUCGAGUGGUGACUGACCAAACACUCACCCGAUUUGGCACGGGAGGGCAACCCAAAAUGUGGAAUGGGGGAGAUAGAAGAAAGUAGAGGAGAAGCAAGGGAGAGGCAGGCAAUUUGGGUUGGUCAGCAAACAAAGAACCGUCAAAGGUAAACCGCGUAAUUCUGUGUGUUUGUUCUUCAAGUUGCAAGGCUUUUGGCAUAUCACUACACUCUGUACAAAGACGCGUUGUUUCUUGUCGGCUUUUCUUUAGUAUUAUUUUUGGUUGAAGACUUUGUGAAGGGCUGCAGUUUCCUACUUUUCCAAGCUUUAGCUAACUAAGAAAAAUCAAACCAAAGAAUUGAUUGGUGUUGAUUUAAAGCUGCUAACCAUCCUCCAAUAAAUUAAUACAAGACAAACCACAUUUUAGAACAUGGCUUUCUUUCUGCCCAUUCUCUGUUGCUUUUUUCAACCAGUUCUGAUUGCAUGAAGUCAUUGCCUACUGACUAUAAUGGGAGCUUACCAAGUUUUGUUUGCAGUAAUUAAACUCUGCCAUCUCAAAAUUUCCAUUGUUUUGCUUAUUCCCAAAGUUUGAAAAUGAAAUAAAUCAUGACUUUUAACCUUGAAAUUAAGUCAUUUAACAGGGGUUUUGCAUUUUGUUCCUUUUCACAUGGAUGGGAAUCUGUUUUCACAUGGCGCCCCGCUUCGCUUGAGUGUUGAAUUUUUUAUUAAAAAUAUUUUUAAAUUGCAUAAUAUUGUAAAUAAAAAUAAUAAUAAUUAAAGAGAAAUAAUUUUAAAUUUAAAAAUAUUAUAAAUAAUAGUUAUAAUGAUAAAUUUAAGAUAAUUAUUUCACAAAAUAAUUAUUUUUAAAAUAUUUUCUCAUCUCUUAUUAAGUAAAAUAUUUUAUUCAAAUAAUUUUUUUUUGAAAACAUUUGAUUUUUUAUAUCUUAAAAUAUGCGAAUGUUGAUAUAUAUAAUCAUAUUUUGUUAAUUACAUGAUUCUAAUAGCGAAAUCAAAUUCAUAUUGAGAAAAUAUAAUAUUUUAAAAGUAAUUAUUGAUAAGUUACAUAAUUGAUACAAUAAAAUUAUUAAAAUAAAAUAAACAUUUUUUUAAAGUCCAAAUAAAAUGAAUAUUAAUUAUAUUUAUUAAUUUUUUUAGUUUUAAUGAUGAAAUUUUCUAAUUGAUCUUCAAUUUCAAUUAAUAUUUUUUUAUCUUAUGCCUUUAUAAUUAUUUAGAAUUAAUCCACCUUGUGAUCCUUAUCAUGUCUUAUUAAAAAUUAAAAACUUAUUUCACUUCAAACUUGGAUGAAAUCCACAAAUAUCCACCCAAAUAUUUUAUUUUAUAAAAAAUAUAAGCGCUUCAAUUUUCAAUGAACCAAAACACUAUCACUCAAUGAGGGGGAAAACCCCCUUCUGAAGCUAAAGAAAAAAAAUACCCCUGUUGACAACUCUAAAUGCAACCGACUUCACAAAAAACAUCUCAAAAUUCUUAUAUAUAUAGUGUUAUAUAGACUAAUUCAUGAGCAUUCAAUAAUUAAUGCUUUGGUCUUCAAUGAUUACCGGCUAAUCUGAAUUUAAUCUUUUAUUUAUUCUAUUUUGUAAAGAGGGGAAAAGGAAGUCAAAGGUCCUCAAGAAGAACCGAGAACUUAAAUCAAAUUACUAUCAUUUUCAGGCAUUCCUCAUUUUUCCUUCUUUUUGGUGCUAGAAAAACUAACCAAUUUGUUACUGUUUUUCAGGGCAAUGGCCCCUGGCCUAACCACUUCUGGAUUUUUUUGUUAUAGGCAAGGAACCAAAUGCUGAAAGAAACAACUCAACUACAAGACAAGCAAUCAAUAUGGAUUUAAAGAAAGAGAAGAGGGUUUUUAAAAUGUCUUCACUUGGAACAGUUGCUGUAAUGAAUUAUGAUCAUAAGCUUGAAGAUGUUGACAUUUCUGGUAUAAUUCAACAAAAUCUGCAUCACCCUCUGCUUUUUUCAAAGUGAGGGAAAAGUUGAAAGUUCCACUCACAAUGUGAAAUAUGAGGUGGAAAACAUUGAGUAAGUCACAAGUCUCUGUUCCUAAGUCACAAGUCUCUGUUCCCUGUAUUCUUUCUUGUUCUUCACUGCCAAAUUUUGGGUCUUGAUUCAUCAUGGAUGCUGAGAAUUUACUAACCUGGAACAUGGGUUUUGUCCAAAUUUAAUCAUUCAAUAUUUAAGACUGAAAUCCGAAUUUACCUCUAGGAAAAACAAAAAGAGAAUUUAUAUUAUAAGUACUUCAAUUAGUAAAAGUAUGCAAUCAUUGAAUAAAUUCAUCAAAGUGAAUUAAACUAGUUUAUACUGUAAACCAGAAGCCGCCAGAUGAACACUAAUCAGAAAUCACUUCUUCCAAACCAAAAAGAAGAAAACAAAGGAAAGUAAAGGAUAACGUACAACAAAGGUAAACAUAAAGAAAUAAGUACAAAAGAAAUGUUUAAAAUGUCCCAUGAUAAUAAAUCAUGAUUAGCCACCAUGAAAGAGCAGAACCAAUGGUUCAGUAGGCAGAAAUUUGUCGUGUUAAACGACUAAAUUGUUUAAAGGUGGGGUACCCUUUUUCCAUGGAUUUUCACCAGAUUGCAGAGACUGGACAAUGGGGAGACUUUUCUGCCCAAGUAGGCCCAUCAUCUACCCCACGUUUUCCAAGGCUCUGCUGGACUUGGGGACCUCCUCGAAUGAAUUUUAUGCAAGUUUCACUGCCCGUUAGGUUUUGGAUGUUACGGCCCCAACGGGCCUCUUUGACUUGGAGCUAUCCUCCUCCAAAAGAAACCAGGUUCUGUCAUCUCAAUCUCUGCCGGAUGGAAAUGCUUUCCACUUAAUGGAUGGUUUUUUUUUUUUUUUGGAUUUUGCUGUUUAUUAACAAAAUUUUGAUAAUUUAUACAAAAUAUAGUAUUAACUGAGUAGCUGAGUAUUGAGUUUCCAUUGAUUAGAUGAUUGUGGAACCAUGUUUUGGAGUGAAAAUGAUGUUUAAGACAAAAAGCAAAAACUGAUCUUACAGGGAUGUGCUGCUAUGUAGACCACGAAUAGCAGAGGGAAAGCAACAGAUGAAGAUGAGGUUUGAAGCUUUGGCAUGAAGGAAAUCUAAUAUAGUGUCAUGAUUAUGGCACCAAUUACUGCAAUCUGCAAGACUUUGGAUGAUCAGAGGAGACUGCAGAAGAAAAUUGCUAGCCUACCUAUUACAAGUUUGGUUGAAUGUUUGUCUUUUUAUUCUUUUGAGAUAAUUGAGUUUGGUUGAAAGUCCAUAUCAAGAGUAGUAGUCCAUAUUCUAACCAGCUUUCCACGACUUGGCAGAACGCUGAAAUAAUUCCAUAAACCUUUUGUCAUUACAUGGCAAAAUUAUUUACUUUACAGCCUUUCCAUCUGUGCUUAAAGAGUUUACACAUUAGACAGACACAUCACUUGGUUAAAAUAAAUUCUUAAUUUCUUACGGUUACUUGAUCUUAUCGGUUUACUGCAUGAUAUGAUAGGACGAACCCAGAUUUUAUUAUGGCAAAUCCUAUCUAAAUGCUUGUAAAUCUGCAUGCUGCUUGCUGGAAUAGAUACCAUGUAGAAGCUCUUAUGAAAAUAGCUCAAAAAACAACAAUGAUAAAAUUUAGAGAAAUCAAAUAGAAAAACAUAAGAAUUUACAUAGUUCAAUUUGUUGCCUACGUCUACAGAGUGAAACCGUUGUUUUAUUAUUGAGAAAUUAAAGUAUAAUAAAUUGACCUCUAUGGUUUUCCAAACCAAUCUAAAAUCCCUUGCACACCCUUUCUCAAUAACCUCUUAAGAACUUUCACUCAAACCACUUUUGCUCCACCUAGAGCAAAAGAUAGAGUUACAAGAUGUCCUUUCUCUAGAGCUCUUAAAGCACUACUUGCAAUUCUUAAACUUAGAGAUAUACUUUUAUAAUAUAAAAGUCUAAUGUAGAAUGUGAUUACGACUUGAUGUAGAAUAAGAAAUUUAAAAUCGUACAACUAUUUAAUGUUGUAUACAAACAAAAAUCCUAAUCAAAUAAGAUCUAGAAUUCUGAUCAACCUAAAACUCAACAAAUCUCUACCUUUAACUUGAAUUCAAACUCCUUAAACCUCUUCCAACAGUGGCACUCAAUUACAACUUCUUAACUCCACCUACUUUCUAACACCUUUAACAACUUUCUAAGCAUAAGACUUUCCAAACCAUUGGCCUUUAAAAUUACCACGACUACACAUACUGCAUCAAGCAUGGUCCAACACUUGAUUCCACCGAAUGGCCAAUGCACUUGUGUAGUUGUCAAGUCAAUGACACUAAUUGACUUCGGAAAGGGACCUUGACAAUCCUUCCAAAUCACUACUAGCAAGAAUUUUUGUCUUGUCACCAUUGUCUACACCAUGUGAACCUUUCAUUACUUGUGCACUAUUCCCAUCCCUUCGAGUGCUCACAUUCUAGACGCUACAAACCAUUAUGCAAAUUCCCCCUCAUUGGGACCAUGUUGCCUUGUGUGACUUUUGCCACUCUAUCACAAGCAGAAUAUCUAUACCUUUGGGAGUUUAACAGGCUUAAUGAUAUUAGAUUCUUACACAUAUUUAGGAUAUAGGUCUCACAACCUCAAGAGCUAACAACCCUAUCAAACAUUUUGAUUUUCACCACUGCAAAACCUAUGAAUUUCACUAUUAACUUAUUGCCUAAAGUCAAAUUCCUAACCACCCCUUCUUGCAGUAAAUCAAAAUUUUCAUUUGAUAGCAUAUGUGAGUGGUAGAAGCAGAAUCUAAAUACCAAUAAGAAUUUGCAUCCAUAUUUUUUGAGAUUUCAAGGAUAUCACAGUCAUCACCUUCAGCAACGAAAGCACACUCACCUUUGUUCUCAUUACUUUCAUCCCUUUUUGUAGGACAAUCUCUUUUAAUAUGUCCAUACCCAUUGCAUUGAAAGCACUAAAUAUUGUGAGAUUUAGACUUGCCACCCUUCAAUCCCAUGCUAGUUGACUUCCUCCUACGAACCUCAAUUACCAAUGCCAAGCCUCUUGAAUCUCUAUCCCCUUCCUUACUUUUCUUUCAGGCUUCACGAGACAUUAACAUUGCUUGUGCUUGUUCUAAUAUUAUUGUAUGCAUCCCACAUAUUAGAGAUUCCAUAAAUACCUCAUAGGAGUAUGGGAGUGAAGCUAAGAACAAUAGUGCAUUUUUCUCUUCCUCCACUUUCAUAUUAACCUUUUUCAACUAAUCAAUGAUCCCGUCAAAUAUAUUGAUAUGCUUUAUGAGGUCUCCAUUCUCCUUUAUCUUUAAGCAAUAAAACUUUCGUCAAAACUACAACUUGUUAGAAAGACUUUUCGUCAAGUAAAUCUUCUCCAUAACCUAAGGGCUGAAUCCUCAUCAAUAACAUGACAUGUUAUCUCCAAUGCAAAGCCGAAUAAUACUUACACAUCUUUGCUCUAACUCUAGCCAUUCAGCAUCCUUCAUGUCAUUGGGUUACCCUUCUUCAUUUUUUAGCAAGGGGCACAUCAAACUUUACUGCACAAGGAGAUCUUUCAUCUUUCACUACCACUGUGCGAAACUAGUUUUCCUAUUAAACUUCUUAAUUGAAAAAUUUGUGGAACUAGUGACUUUCAAUAUCUUUGUUGAAUCUUGAAUUUACCGAACCUGAAACUCUAAUACCAGUUUGUUAUGAAAAUUACCCAAGAAAUAACAAAGAUAAAACCCAGAGAAAUCAAACAAAUAGAAAAACACAAGAAUUUAUGUGGUUCAGCCUCUUGCUUACGUCCACAGAGUGAAACUGUUCUUCUAUUAUUGAGAAAUUAAAGUACAAUAAAUUGACCUCUAUAGUUUCUCGAACAACCUAAGAUCCUUUGCACACCUUUUCUCAAUAACCUCCCAAGAACAUUUACUCAAACCACUCUAACUCCACCUAGAGCAAAAGAUAAAGUUACAAGGUGUCUCCUUUUUAGAGCUCUCAAAGCACUAUUUGCAAUUCUAAAGCUUAGAGAUCCAUUUUUAUAAUAUAAAAGUUUAAAAUAGAAUGUGAUUAAGACUCAAUGUGGAAUAAAAAGUUUAAAAUCAUACAACUACUCAAUAUUGUACACAAACAAGAAUCCUAAUCAAAUAAGAUCUAAAAUUCUAGUCAACCUAAAACUCAAUAGAAGCACAUUGAUAUCAAGCCAUGACAUUGGUUUUAACAUAUCAGGAAAGAUGCAUUCGUGCACAUUGAGACAAGCAAAGCUGCAAAAAACAAAAUUACUAAGGAUGCUUUACUUUUUACUAUUUUAACUUUCCAAGUCAUAUAAUUCUACCACGAAUGUACACAUAUUUUCAUAAAAACAAAGGCAUUAACGGAUGGUAAGAUCAAAAUAGAAAUUUUAUGAAUUUGACAAUUUUUAAUUAGCCUGUAACGUUCAUUACACUAUUUGAUCAUGUUCUUUUCUUUUUUCCUUUACCUACUAUGUGUAUUAAGGUUAUUGUAGAUGCCCAAUUCUGGUUAACUAUUAUUUUUAAAGUGCUAUUUACAGGAAAAUUACAUCAGGGUGUUCCAAACGUAGAAAUACUCAAGGGCGUUCCAAGCGCAGAAUGCCCGAGGUUUUUUAAGCAUAGAAACACCCUAAGCAUGAAAACACUCAGAGGUGUUCUAAGUCUGGAAGCGCCCAGGGGUUUUCCAAGCAUGGAAGUGCCCAAAGGUGUUCCAAGCACAGAAGCACCCAAGGAUAUUCCAAGCAUAGAAUUGCCCAGGGGUGUUCUAAGCGAGGAAGCGUCCAGGGGUGUUCCGAGUGCGAAAGCGUCCAGGGGUGUUCCAAGUGCGAAAGCACCUAAGGGUGUUCCAAGUGCAGAAACGCCCUAAGUGUGGAAACGUCCAAAGGUGUUCUAAGCAUGGAAGCGCCCAAGAGUGUUCCAAGCAUGGAAGUGUCUAAGUUGUUUCAAGCGCGAAAGUGCCAAGGGGUGUUCCAAGCUCAGAAAGUGUCUAGGGGUGUUCUAAGUGUAGAAACGCCCUAGGCAUGGAAAUACCUAGAGGUGUUUUAAGCGUGGAGGUGCCCAGAGGUGUUCCAAGCAUGGAAACUCCCAAGGGCAUUCUAAGUGCGGAAGAGCUCAAAGGCGUUAGUAGCACGAAAGUGCCCAAGAGUGUUCCAAGGUAGAAACACCCAAGAACAAGCAUGGAAUAACUGUUUGUACGGGAAAGUGAAAACAACUUAGAACAAGUGGCAGAGUUCAUGAGUUACCUUCACAUUUGGGAUUUUCUAGAUAGUUUGGCUUGGUAGCUCAGAUAUGGAGAUAGUUAAGAGGACUUCUUCUUAAUCUUUCUUUAAAGUACAUGUGCUUUACCCUUUUUUUCCUUACUCCUUAAAAAUACGUGUGGCUCACUAUCAAGUGUCACUAUUUCAUUACUCAAAACUUACGCUUAUUACUCAACUACAUUGUCAUUCUUUUAAUAUCCCAUAAAACAUUUUUUAACUGUUCUUCCAUGAUAAGCACGUUCUCCCAUGAUUAAAUGUGCUCUCUUAACUACUCCUAAGAAAGUGCUUUUAUUCAGUGUAAAUAGGAGGUUGGGAGGUACGAAGAAAGGGGUAGACACCCAACAAAGAUUACCUUAAAAACUCUCUCUAGAAUCCUCCAAACAUUCUUUCUUUUCAGCUUUUCCCAUUCACCGCUAUCCACUGCCUCUUCCACCUUUUCUCAUCCUUCACCACCUGCCACCUAAAGCACUUACACUUUAAGGACUGCUCCAGUCUUUCUCUUUGCCGUUUCUAAUGCAUCCCGAUUCACUCAUUGUAACACGUCCUUUCUCCAUAACCAAAAGAACACUCUACAGUUAUCAAGGUUUUUUUGGAUCAAAUCUUAUCUCGAUAAAAUGUUCAAAUCAUGAGAAAGAAAAUUGUUUUAAGUGGGUGAAGCACAUCGAUAGCUAUCUUUGGCAUAACUCCAUGAGGUUGGAAGUCCAUAAUCAUGAGAACCUAAUUUAAUUUAGAGGAUGUUUCCCAUUUAUCAAUGGCAAUAAUACAUAUUCGGUGCCACACCCUUUUCCCUAGUUUUGCUUACUUUUGAUAACAAAAGAGGAAAUGCAUUCUUUUGAAGAAAAUUAACUCAAUCUAUAUAUCUUGAGAAGAAAAAAAGGUCUGCAAAUCUCCUAUAAGAUAUUUUCACUUCCACUUCUCUUAAUCCAAGGUAAAACAAUAAAUUGUGAAAAUUGAUUACCACCAACUACUAAAAAUUAACUUAUGAAAGAGGAAACAGAAAGAUGGGGAGCCGAUUCUUUUGAUGCACAAGGCAAAGAGAGCUGAAUAUGGCGAAGAAGCAGUAGGUUAUGGUUUCUAUAGCAUGGGGUGUCAACACCAGCCUUCAAUCGCUUGUUACCCUUCUCAUUGCCAUUGUUGUCGUUGCCACUGUCUAUCUGAGACAAAGAAAUGAAUAACUCUUUGAGUACGAGAUAUACAUGAAAGUUUUGGUGGCAAAUGUGUAAUAUGUUUUCAAGGAAAUGAGUAUAUGAUAAUGAAUCUUACCCUCUAUACAAAAAGAGAGAAUGCACGUUUAUGUCAAAUCUGUUAGCUUGUGAGAAGUUCGGGAGAAAGGACCUUAACUAUCAGUUAUAGAAAUGGCAACCUCACUAGUGUGACCACUUUAGGUUUCUUUUAUUCUGUUUUGUUAAUUUUCUAUUCCAUAUCAUAUAAAAACAGGAAUAAUGAUGGUUUUAAGAUUGCAUUUGGCAAUGUUUUUGAGUUUUGUGGAAUGUUUCCUUGUUUUAUGUUAAUAAGGUAACAUGUUACAGCAUUGUUAGGGAGUCUUAGAAAUAAGAGGCUUGCUUUAAUCGGGAAAUUGCUCAACAGAAACCAAUGGGUUUUCAUGGUCUGUCUAGUGGAUUCAGCCAUCCUUCCAACCUUCAAUUUCAUGCAUAACAGUGGCUCAAUAAACAUUUUCAAGGCCGUUGUGAGUACUCUCUAAUAUUUUCAAAAGAUUUUACAAUUGAAUAUACCAACAAAGUGUUUUUUUUUUCUUUUUUAAUCUCACUGUCUUUGUCAUUUUUGCUAUAAUGGCUAAAAUUUUACUAAUUCAUGUUAUUAAAAAAUAUAAUGCAACAAUCGAAUUUUACUGGUCCCCAUUGUUGGUGGAAUCCAACUUGGAUAAUUUAGUGAACCAUCGGGUACCAGAUUGAAUUGUCAAAGUCUACGCAAUUGAAAAGCAUGCUAGGCAUUGGAUAGAUGCAUAUGUUCUUAUUUUCAAUACCUAUCUUUGGGGAAGUAGACGCCAAAUAAAGGUCUUGUAAGUAUAUUUUCCAACUUAUAAUUAAUCAAAACUAACAGAAUAGUUCGAAGUGGUUAUGAUAUUAUCAGGUGGGGAUUUUUCACCCAUGAAGAUGGGAUUUAUAAAGCAGUCAUGUUACCAAGAGUGUACGAGAUGGCCCUGAAUACAUGGACACAGUGGUUGGACGUUCAUGUCAAUAGCAACACGUCUUAGUUUUUCUUCAUGAGCAUGUCACCAACAUAACAAAGUACUAUAAACUUUCCUAUAUACAAUCUUUUUGAAUUUCAAAAAAAAAAAAUUCAAUUCUUUGUAAGAAAAGAAUUAUCUACAAAUAACUUGAGAACAGCCAGACAUUAUGGCACCACUCAUUCAUUGAAAUGUUAAAAAUUUUAAUUUGGUAUAUUACUUAUUCUAAAGCUUUAUGCAGUUAAUGAUAUUAACGAACUCAUUAAUUUUUUUUACAAUUUUGUAGAGAAUGUGUCAAAAACUCCAAAUCAAAGUAGAUUUAUAUAAAAAAAACAUAAUUUAUUUAUUAAUAUUUAAAUAGUACAUGAAAAGAUAAAAAAUUUCUUUUUAUAAUUUAAGAUUUUAUUAAAAAAAAGUCAAAAUCUUAACUACUCCGUUUCUUUAAAAAAUGACCUUAUAUAAUUUAUUUAUUUAUUUUUAUUAUUUUAAUUAUGACACCACUCGAAAAAAUUUUUGGAUCCAUCUAAAUUUUGUGCGAACGUGCACACGAAUCUCGAUAUUGAUAAUCGAAUCCAUUUCUGCAGAAAUUUGUUCGAUAAUGGAAUGGAUGGUAAAGACACUCCAAGUGUGUGUGCAAAAGCACAGCCAAGUUCGUUGUAGUUUGGCAUUGUGCACUCUUUUCUAGAGUAAAAGAUUUCCUUCAAAUUCUUUCGAAGUACUCUCUUAUCAUGACUAAAUAAAUGUCUCAAACACUCAAACAUCAUAUAACAUGGAUUAUUCAAUGGCAAUAGCUGGAAAGGAUUUGGCAUUUUUGUCUAUAUCGACGGUAGAUUUCAAAUUCAACAUUAGGUAUUAUUGUUGAGAAAAUAGAGGAAUUCAUGAAUAAGCUUGGUAAUGUCAAGCUUGUUUUAAUGGAUUUGACUCACAAAUAAGAAAGUUUGUAUUCAGUAAGGGCUAAAGCUACACAAAAUAACAUUGACACUAGAAGGUUUUUCACUCGGUAUGCAAAAGGGAAUUUUGUGAAUAGCCUUAAGGAUAUAAUGAAUUUAACAUCUAAUUUCGUCACCGAGGAUUGCAAAGUUGUUUGGACUUAGAGCCUAUUUUCUGCAACAAGUAGUUUAUAAGGAAUUUGGACACUUAAAUGAUGGGAACUCAAAGUGUUUAUGUUAUUUUCUAAAUUUUUAAUUCAAAACAUAACAUUUCUUUUGCUCUAGAUUUUUAGCUGAACUUGGCACACAUAUGACAUCAAGCCAUCAUUAGCCAACUACCAGCAUUAAGUCCCCUAGUCGAUGAAGGUAAGGAAGAAGCUAUAUCCUAACCACUUACUAUUUCAGGCGCUAGCCAGCUCUCAUUGAUGAUUUCUCUCCUUCUUCCCCUUUUCUCUUGGAUGAAGCAACCAUAUAACUAACGAUAUGGAUUGAGUAGCGAGAUCAGUUACACUAGCUCGGGCAUACUAACUGUCUUAGCGUCGGGGUCUGACCUUCGCCAUUGUUUUUGCUAUGAGGGCCAUGAAUAUUGGGGAGGUCGAAUCCAUUAAGAUGAUGAUGUCACCUAUUGAAGCAAAUUCAGGGGCUUCUGGCGCCUCUGACUCUGAAUCUUCGUCUAAUUUUGCAGGGGUCUCACCCUAGCAUUCAUUAUCCCAUUACCGAGGCCAUACUCAGUAGCCAUAGCUUUGUUGCACUGCCACUGCUAUUUUAGUCCUUGUAUAGUUUCCCUUAUCUUUAUUGAGUUCCACCAAUUGUGAAUUUAGUAGUAGAUGAGAUAUUGGAGUUACAUUUGCCUUUUUUCGGAUCAAUGAAUACGGAACCACCAGUUUAUCAUUCGUUACAGCCCCCUUCUCCAUCGAGCAAAGCAUUCUUAGUCCAUCCAACCAAACCUAUGAAUCGGGAUUCAACUACCUUUUAUCUCAUAUCGAGGUUCGAUACCUAUUAGUCGAGUGUGUUUUUGUCUUGUUUGUUUGUUGUGUUAAAUUGAUUGACAACAAGUUUUUUAUAUAGACUUUCAAGUGUCCUUUAUCUUUCUCCAAGUGUCAUUCUAUUAAGAAACAUAACUCUUUAUAUGAAAAAUUAUCUAGAAUCCAAUAAUCACAAUAUACAUGGGAGAUAACCUUUCAAUAUAUGUGACUUUCCAAUAAUCACAAUUUUCAUAUCAGAAACAUAACUUCUAAUUUACAACUUUUCAUAUGAAGAGAUAAGGUUUUGAAAAUACACCAAUAAUUACAAAUUUGGUUGAAUGUUUAUCUUUCUUUGGAUAAUUAAGUUUGGUAAGAGAUAAGUUUUUAAAAUACACCAAUAAUUACAAGUUUGGUUGAAAGUUUAUCUUUGUUUGGAUAAUUAAGUUUGGUUAAAUGUCCAUAUUAAGAGUAGCAGUCCAUUUUCUAAUCAGCUUUCCACGACUUGACUGAACCGUGAAAUAAUUCAAUAGACCUGACAUGGCAAAAUCAAUGACUUUAUAGUCUUUCUUGCUAUGCUUAAGAUUUUACAUGUUAAAGGGACACAUCACUUUGUUAAAAUGAAUUCUUAAUUUCUUGCAAUUACAUCAUAGAAAGCUGAUUUUCCACGGGGACAUGGGGAUGACUUGACCUGAUUGGUCUACUGCAUCGAAUGACAGGACGAAUCCAUAUUUUAUUAUGGCAAAUCAUACCUAAAUGCUAUCAAAAAAGAUGCAUUCGGGCAUUCCUUACACUGAAACAAGCAGAGCUACCAGAAACAAAAUUACUCAAGUUGUUUUACUCUUGCACUGCAGCUUUAUUAGAUGAAUUAAGGGAAAAAAAGUUAGAUUAGGAUACUAAGUACCAAUUUAUAUUGUGCUAUGACUCAACUUUUCAUUAGUAAAGAUGCUUUCCUGCAUUUGCUUUUCUUCUUACUGAUGCAAGCAGAACCAAGUAAUAAAAUCACUCCACGAGAAUUACACUACCACUCCAACAUCAAGUUGAGGAAAAAUCUAUAUUAUGAAAUACUACUAAGAAGUUUUAAACAAAAGUUUCAUCUUCUGAUUCUAGGCAAUUUGAAUACAAUUUAUUUCGAAUUUAACCUAAGGCAAAACAAUUAUGGUGCGUGGUCCAAUCGAAGUGCUUGGAGUCAACAAUCAUUUUUAUUAUUUGGUAAACCUCCAACCAAGAUAGGAACAUGUGAAAUUGAAUUAUGGUCAAGUUUGGCUUUGUUAAAUACUUCAUAUCGAUCGGAAGUAUCAUUGACUUUGGUUUUUUUAUUAUUAUUUCAAAGAAAAAAAACAACUUCAUUUUAAAUCAUAUUGCACCCAAAUAUUUGAUUUAUUGAUUGAUAUAUGGUUUUCUACCUAAAGAGUCGACAUCGAAUCUCUUUCUCCCAAUUACAAAAAAGACUUCAUUUUAAAACAUGCUAAAAAAAAUAGACAAAAAAUGAUUGGAAAGUGUAUGUACUAAUUCAUUAGCAUUCAAUAAUUAAUGCUUUGGUCUUCACUGAUUGCCAGCUAAUCUUAAUUUAAUCUUUUGAUGGUUCUGUCUUGUAAUGAGGGGAAACGGACCUUUUGCGUUUUGAAAGUGAGGAAAAAGUUUUUUAUAAGUAAGGAAAAUGUUGAAAAUUCCACUCACAACGUGAACUAUAAGGUUGACGAAAUCACAAGUCUCUGGUCCUUGCAUUCUUGUUCAUCACUGCCAAAUUUUGGCUCAUUACUAACCUGGAACAUAGAUUUUGUCCAAAUUCAAUCCUUCAAUGUUUAAGACUUAAAUCCAAAUUUGCUUCCAGGAAAGAACAAAGGUACAUAAUAAUGCUUUAUUAGAAUAUUUUUGUAAAUAUUCAAAAAUUUAAAACCAGAACUUCCUUUUAAAGGAUAGAACUUUAAAUUUUUUGAAAGAAUCGAUAUCAUUAUAUAAUUGUAAUCAUAUAGUACAAACUUUUGAAUUGUAACAAUUAAUUAUAUGUUUAAUUCUAAUUAUUUAUAAGUACGAUUCUAUAUAUAUAUAUAUUGAAAAGCUUGUGGAUUAUCAUUCAAAACCGCAGCCAUUGUGCCAUUUAAAGUCUCUAGUCAAGAGGAGCAGGAGACUUCUGAUGGCAUCUGGAACUGGCUAAUCGGUAGCGCGCUGGAACUGGCUUCUCAUUGAUGCAAGCAGAACCAAGCAAUAAAAUCACUCCAGUAGAGUCACUCUACAACUCCAAUACUUUCCCUUCCGAAAUCUAUCAGCCAUUCUUCCUAUAUUAAGUUGAGGGAGAAUCUAUAUUAUGAAUUGCUACAAAGAACUUUUAAGCAAAAGUUUCAUCUGAAUACAAUUUACUUCGGAUUUAACGUAAGGAAAACGAUGUCAAUGUUUCACAGGAAGGAGCUUGAGGUUCUGGUGCAUGGUCUAAUCUAGGCGGUUGGAGUCAGUAAUCAUUUUUAUUAUUUCGUGAACUUUCAAUCAAGAUAGGAACAUGGGAAAUUGAAUUAUGAUUAGGCAUGUGUUAAAUAAUUUUUUUGCUUCUACCACAAGGAUCAUUCUGGAUAAAUUGUCUGAUGAACCUUCUGAUACUAAUGUAAUCAUGCAAUAAGGAUGAUCAGCUAGAGAAGUGAGAGCUUUUUUCAUUGCCUAAAGCUGAAAGAAUAUGUUAGCUUAGUUUCAAGCACAACGUGAAUAGAACCCUCCUUUUCAUUUUUUGCUUUUGGGAUAUAAUUUAAUUUGUUUUUAUUCAAAAGAGCUAGGAUAAACCUGUUACAAGGACUGAAAAAAAAGGUUGGAAAGGGAAGAAGCACAAACAACUUACGGUUGAAACAAAAACCAAAAACAGGAAAAUACAACGAAGGAAGUAUCUAAAAAUCCUUUCACUUAUUCCUUGCUCCUUUUCAUUGUUGCUGGAGCCUUCUUCCCCGACUCCGAUGAGCUCUCCUUCCGUGAUUUCUGUUUUUGAGAACCAGCCGAGGGAAAAGCCUAAAAAGAGCACGAUCAAUGUGCUUAUAAUACCAUAUCCUCCAUCUCUUCCAAAAGAUGAGAGGUGCAAUGACAAUUCCGAAACCAAAGAAAAACCCUGUCUCAACACUUAUCAGAUUCCAAUCGAUAUGUCUCCCAGUCCCAGAAUGUGAAGGGCUAUCUUUAAAAGUUGGUGAAGAUUGACAUUUUGCCUCUAAAGGAGGUCCACAUAAUCCCCCAUUGUUUUCAAAUGAAGCAUCUGAAAACGACUGAAGCUGGGUACCUUUUGGGAUCCUUCCCACCAAUUUAUUGUUUGACACAUUGAGGAAUGAUAGGAAAUUUAAGUUUGCUAGCUGCGAAGGGAGCUGACCAGUUAGGUGGUUGCUUGAGAGGUCUAAGGACUCAAGCGUUAGCAAGUCUCCUAAAAAUGAUGGGAUUGUGCCUGUGAGCAAAUUACUUGACAAAUUAAGUACGUGAAGUGCUUUGAAUUCUCCGAUGACUUGUGGUAUUGGCCCUUCAAAUUUGUUGCAAGAAAAGUCAAUGGAGGUGAAGAUAGUUAGGAUUUUCACCAGCUCCAUCUCUUGACCUUUGAUGGUAACUGUUAGUACAUCCUGAAAAGACAAUUCAUCGAACUGGAAGACUUCAAAUCGGAGGUGUUUUAAAUGGGGUCCAUCUUCGUUUGCCUUCAUAGCAUUCCAGGUCCUCAAGUAUGCUUGUGGCAGUUUACCACUAAAAUAGUUGGAAGCUAAGUCAAUAAUUUGGAGCAUUGGCCAAGUGAUGUUGUUCCCUUGGCAAUAAAUAUCUCCGUUAAAUUUGUUGGAUCGUAAAACCAGAGCACGCAACCUGGAUGUAUCCUUCAAAUGGCAAGGAAAUGUGUCAUUGAUUUGAUUGUUCCCAAUGUCUAAAACCUCCAGCAUUCUGCAAUUGGCCAAAGAUUUUGGAACCUUCCCACCAAUUAGGUUCCGAUUGAGAUCUAGAGUUUGUAAUGUACAGAUUUUUGAAAAUGUGUCUGAAAUGAUGCCACUGAGAUUGUUUCGCCUUAGAUUCAGUACUCCAAGAGAUACACUCAUCUGAAUCAGACAUUCCGGAAUUGGCCCACUCAGGGAAUUAUUAGACAAAUCAAGUACUUGAAGAUAUGAAUUGUUGCAUAUCGAUGUGGGGAUACUUCCGUGAAAGUUAUUACCUGAGAUGGAGAAGAAAGUAGCAAAUUGGAGGUAGUUACCAAUCUCAGGUGGUAAAACAGAGCUGAAAUUGUUAUUUGAGUAAUCCAAAUAAAUGGCCUGUGGUGGAAAAAUUGGGAUUUGCCCUUGAAGCUGGUUGCCACGAAAGUCAACAACAAUCAAAUAUGAAGGUAUAUGCAAAGGUCCUUUAAAUUCUACAAGAAAGUUUAGAGAAAGAUUUAGGUAUUGAAGAUUCGGUUUCCAAAUCCAAUUGGGUAUUUCCCCAUAAAUCUGGUUGUUUGAAAGGUCUAGGUGGGUUAACUUGAACUGAUUUUUCACGAAAUCAGGGAAUUUCGUUAAGUUGCAAGAAGCCAACUUUAAUCUGGUAAUGUUGGUGAAGUAAGGCACUGAAGCACUUGAGUCAACAAAGAAGUUGUUAUAUGAAAGAUCAAGAAAGGAGAGUUCCCUCAGUUUCUGAAAGGCAGUCAAUGGUAUUAAUCCACUGAAGUUGUUCCAUGAAAGUGACAGGAAUGUGAGACCUUGGAUUUCAAAUACCGACAUCGGAAAUGGCCCUUGUAACUUAUUGUGACUUAGAUCAAGUACUUUAAGUUCUAAAGAAAACUCACAGCUGACCUCACUGAAUCCACCAGUGAACUGAUUUUUUGAAAGGUCGACUCUCUUUAAGGAUGGACUCCGAAAUAAAGUUGGUGAGACAGCUCCACUAAAAGAGUUGUUUCGUAAGUCAAGAGUUACAAGAUUCAAAAGGCUUGACCAGUUAGUGGAAAGGAUAGAGCCAGUUAACUGAUUGUCAGCAAGGUGUAGCUCUGAAAGGUUUCUUAAUGAUGUGAAUGAUGGAAUUGGACCAGAGAAAUUAUUUUGGGAAAAAUCCAAAUAGAUCAGCUGUCUAAGUUUUUCUAUUGUUUCAGGUAUGGGCCCAUUGAACUUGCAUUUCGUCAACUCUAUUCUUCUCAAUUGCCCAAGGUUACCAAUAGAUUCCAGUAAUUCCCCCCCAAAAUUUGUGUAACUAAGUACCAGUGUUUGAAGAGAAGCAUUCGGAGGAAACUUUGGGAAAGAACCUUCAAGUAAGUAGUUGAAUGACAAGUCCAGAGUCUGUAAUGUAGGUACCUGGAGGAUUUCUUCUGGUAGUCUUCCACUCAAGCCAGUUUCGCUGAGAUGCAAGGAAGUCAAAGUUUGGAAUUCUGCGAAGAAUUUUGGAAAUGGAGCGGACAAAUUGUUACCGUCCAAACGAAUUACUGAGAGAGACUUAAGCUUGGCAAGGGAAGGAUCUAUAGGUCCCGAAAGAUAACAGUAGGACAUGCUCAACACUUGCAGAUUAGGCAGCGAAGAUGCUAAAGCCUGGCUCCACUCAUUUCCAUUGGCUGAUAUAUUUACGCCAUCAAGAUAGAGAAUUUUCAGCCUUGUAAGGUUUUGGACAAGCAUUACUAGAUUUGGCUUCUCAAGUUUCGCUGGUAGAUCAAGAAACCAAAAUGUAGAUAAAUCGAGAGUAACCAACUUUGUCAUGUAUGAAAUCUCAAUCGGAAUUUGCCCUGUAAAGCCCGCAGCUGACAAAUUAAGAUAAGUCAAAUUUGCCAACUUAUCAAACUCUGAAGGAAACGCGGAUAUGAAUUCGUUAUAAGCCAAAUUAAGUCGCUGGAGAUGCUGAAGACGGAAAAGACUACAUGAACUCUCAAUUGCUCCGGAAAUUGAUUGGUUGCUCAAGUCAAGUUCGAUAACACGACCACCUGCAUCGCAGCUUACACCAUCCCAAGAACAGCAAUCCGUGCUUUGAUUCCACUUCAUCAACUUCACAGAUAAAGUAGAAUUGAGG